rnacentral:lncRNA from 1 species
AUUUACAUAAUUUAGGUAGAAAUACUUGUUGAUAUUUUGUAUUGGGAUUUGAUUUAUUGCUUUUUUUUUUUUUUGCUAAAAUAAAGGGAUUAUUAGAUUCUUUUUUCUGGAUAUGUACCAUUUGCUAAAAUUCUCCAUUGUAAUUUUGUUGUCCGUUCGAUUUGUAUUGUAAUUGUUUUGAUUUCAAUUUCAUUUUUGGUUUUUGGAGAUUUGGAAAUGAGUGUUUUUCAAGAUCUGAAAAUUGGAAAUUGUUCAGUUUUUCAUUGAAACCGAACCGAUAAAUAUCAGUUCAAUUUGAUUUGAUUAUACUUAAAAAUCUGUUUGGUGUAGAAUUCUAAACUCUUCAAUUUUUUAUUUUUCAAAUUUGAUUUGGUUUAGAAUUCAAAAUGGUCUCCCUAUAUAUUUAAGCAUAAAUCUUAAAAUAUGUCAUAUAUAAGAAGUAAGAUGGAACAAGCACAAUGCAUGCAUUAGAUAUAAGAGCUUGGGUUUAGGUGUAUUAAGAUGAUUAGAGAAAAAGGCCAAGUCCAAAAUUGAAAUUUUCAAUUUUAAUUUCACAUGGCAUGUUUGACAGGUUAAUAAUUAGAAGGGCAAAAUAUUAGGUCUUUAAUAUCUUAAAUUUGUGGUUACAUUUUUGAACCAC